rnacentral:misc_RNA from 1 species
GAGAGAGAGAGAGAGAGAGAGAGAGGAGCACUAAGGUUCUGAGUCAUCUUCCCAAUCCCCAGUCUCCUCUUCUGCAAUGGUUUCCAGCCCAGGAGAAUUAGCAGUCUUGGGCAGAGAUAUGAAAAGGGCUGGUGCAACUUCAACCCAACAACUCAAAUCUUUAAUCUGCUUUGCCAUUUCAGAAACAGAGUCUUUCCCGGCUACAGUUUCAAGACCCAGAAGAGAAACUAAAUCCCAAAUAAUGAAGAUUGGUUGUUUCUACUGUUGCAGCUUCUUCAAGAAAAAGAGAUGAUUGAGAGAUUAUGCGGUACACUAUAGGACUUAAGAGAAGCUAAGUACACGUGAGAAAUAUGAACCUGUUACACGCGGAAACGAGCUUACCAUACACUUCCCAACCAUUGACUGGAAGACUGAGUAGAGUGAGAUUGAUUCCUUCGAGGUAAGAAGGCCACGGUCCGAUUCCGGUUCAUUGUAUGAGAUCAACCUGAAUCAAAUUAAAAGGGUUGAUUUUUCAUGGUUCUAAAUCAAUUCUGGAGCAAAUCAAGGAUAAUUUAGA